rnacentral:rRNA from 1 species
CACAAGCGGUGGAUCAUGUUGUUUAAUUUCGAUGAUACGCGAGAACCUUACCAGGUCUUGACAUCCCCCGCGAUGCUUUAGAGAUAAAGCGGGGGUAUUCGGGGAGACAGGUGGUGCAUGGUUGUCGUCAGCUCGUGUCGUGAGAUGUGGUUAAGUCCCGCAACGAGCGCAACCCUAUUGCUAGUUACCAUCAUUAAGUUGGGGACUCUAGCGAGACUGCCAGUGAUAAACUGGAGGAAGGUGGGGAUGACGUCAAAUCAUCAUGCCCCUUAUGACCUGGGCUACAAACGUGAUACAAUGGCUGGAACAAAGGGAUGCGAAGCAGUGAUGUGGAGCGAAACCCAUAAAAACAGUCUCAGUUCGGAUUGAAGUCUGCAACUCGACUUCAUGAAGUCGGAAUCGCUAGUAAUCGCGGAUCAGAACGCCGCGGUGAAUACGUUCUCGGGGUUU